AUCCCACGAGACGGCGACGACCGAGAGGGAAAGUGGACACGCGCCAAUGAAAGCAGGGCCGACUCUCGGCGGAUCUGGGUAGUGUAGGAUGGGACCGAGAAAAUGCUGCAAAUAAAAACACAAAGCGCCAGAAAAAUGGACAUGGUGGUACAAUGGUGGGGCUGCAGAAAAAAAGGGGCGCGCGUUGAGUCUUGUAGGUGUAAAGUACUAGAGGGGUGACACAUGCAGAAGUGACUGGUCCCUGUUGGAAUAUGACGCGAGGAAAGGAUACGGUUGUAAAACAAAUAAAAUUAAUUUAUAGACAAGUUAAACGUCUAAAACAUAUUUUGUGGCGUUUAAAUUACCUAUAGAACUUAAUAGAAUUAAAAAACAUGGGUAAUCCUGUCCUAACAGUCAAACCUACACCACAAUAUCUGGUGUCAUGCCUGUUUUUUGCCCUCAGUUUCACCCAAGUGCACUUCAGAUGGCCACAGAGUCCUAGAAAUACUAUUCUGGCAAAUGUAAGUGUGACCUUAGAGUUUAACCUGCCUCUGUUUGUCAUUCAAGUGCUCCUGUUUGGGCUUCAAUCAGUCUACGAUUAGGAUGCAGGAUGGAUGCCUUCAUAAAGAACACAGAAUAAUCUGCUCUGCUCUGAGGAGCCAUGAUGUUUCUACCAACACUGCAACAACGCAUAUCCAGAACAUCAUCUACAAAGCAACCGGUUUGACAGCAUGCACAUAUACUGUACAAUAAAGCAAGAGGUAAAGUAUCUGAAGCACACGAACACAAGCAGUAACAACACCAGUCUCAAUAUAUUCUUGUGAUGCAUAACAACACAAAGAGAGAAGAAUAUACACAAAUGGCACAAUAGGCUGCUAUUCUGGCCAAACGAACAAAACCCCCCCUCAUUAUGACGUAGACCUAGACAACCUAGAACGCACAAGAGCAGGUAGCCUGAUGUUGCUCCACUGUUCCCACGUGGAUUCACACCGUCAGCGAAACAGAGGGGGAAAAAACACAAUGAGGUCCAUGUGCAGCACAUCAACUAAGAGGCACAAACGGAAUCCACAAAGAAAAGAAGCCAUCUCACCAGAAUAUACUGUUAAGAUGAACACAUGUUUAAUAUAUGAAUAUUUGGACUUUUUCCAAAACGCAAUGAAGACUAAAGAAUGACAACACUCAAA